rnacentral:rRNA from 1 species
AUUGAACGCUGGCGGCAGGCUUAACACAUGCAAGUCGAGCGAGCGGCGGACGGGUGAGUAAUGUCUGGGAAACUGCCUGACGGAGGGGGAUAACUACUGGAAACGGUAGCUAAUACCGCAUACCAUCAGAGGUGCCCAGAUGGGAUUAGCUAGUAGGUGGGGUAAUGGCUCACCUAGGCGACGAUCCCUAGCAGGUCUGAGAGGAUGACCUGCCACACUGUCACUGAGACACGGUCCAGACUCCUACGGAAGGCAGCAGUGGGGAAUAUUGCACAAUGGGCGCAAGCCUGAUGCAGCCAUGCCGCGUGUGUGAAGAAGGCCUUCGGGUUGUAAAGCACUUUCAGCGAGGAGGCGUUACUCGCAGAAGAAGCACCGGCUAACUCCGUGCCAGCAGCCGCGGUAAUUA